UGGCAGCAGUAGGGAAUCUUCCGCAAUGGACGAAAGUCUGACGGAGCAACGCCGCGUGAGUGAUGAAGGCUUUCGGGUCGUAAAACUCUGUUGUUAGGGAAGAACAAGUGCUAGUUGAAUAAGCUGGCACCUUGACGGUACCUAACCAGAAAGCCACGGCUAACUACGUGCCAGCAGCCGCGGUAAUACGUAGGUGGCAAGCGUUAUCCGGAAUUAUUGGGCGUAAAGCGCGCGCAGGUGGUUUCUUAAGUCUGAUGUGAAAGCCCACGGCUCAACCGUGGAGGGUCAUUGGAAACUGGGAGACUUGAGUGCAGAAGAGGAAAGUGGAAUUCCAUGUGUAGCGGUGAAAUGCGUAGAGAUAUGGAGGAACACCAGUGGCGAAGGCGACUUUCUGGUCUGUAACUGACACUGAGGCGCGAAAGCGUGGGGAGCAAACAGGAUUAGAUACCCUGGUAGUCCACGCCGUAAACGAUGAGUGCUAAGUGUUAGAGGGUUUCCGCCCUUUAGUGCUGGAGUUAACGCAUUAAGCACUCCGCCUGGGGUGUACGGUCGCAAGGCUAAAACUCAAAGGAAUUGACGGA
rnacentral:rRNA from 1 species